AAUAUUGCACAAUGGGCGAAAGCCUGAUGCAGCAACGGCGCGUGAAUGAAGAGGGCCUUCGGGUCGUAAAGUUCUUUGAUCAGGGAUGAUAAGGACAGUACCUGAAAAACAAGCCACGGCUAACUAUGUGCCCGCAGCCGCGGUAAUACGUAGGUGGCGAGCGUUGUCCGGAAUUACUGGGCGUAAAGGAUGCGUAGGUGGAUACUUAAGUGGGAUGUGAAAUCCCCGGGCUCAACCCGGGAACUGCAUUCCAAACUGGGUAUCUAGAGUGCAGGAGAGGAACGCGGAAUUCCUAGUGUAGCGGUGAAAUGCGUAGAUAAUAGGAGGAACACCAGUGGCGAAGGCAGCUUUCUGGACUGUAACUGACACUGAGGCAUGAAAGCGUGGGUAGCAAACAGG
rnacentral:rRNA from 1 species